CAGCAGCCGCGGGAAUACGGAGGGUGCAAGCGUUAAUCGGAAUUACUGGGCGUAAAGCGCACGCAGGCGGUCUGACAAGUCAGAUGUGAAAUCCCCGGGCUUAACCUGGGAACUGCAUUUGAAACUGUCAGGCUGGAGUCUUGUAGAGGGGGGUGGAAUUCCAGGUGUAGCGGUGAAAUGCGUAGAGAUCUGGAGGAAUACCGGUGGCGAAGGCGGCCCCCUGGACAAAGACUGACGCUCAGGUGCGAAAGCGUGGGGAGCAAACAGGAUUAGAUACCCCAGUAGUCCCUGUCUCUUAUAA
rnacentral:rRNA from 1 species